CUACGGGGUGCUGCAGUGGGGAAUAUUGCACAAUGGGCGCAAGCCUGAUGCAGCCAUGCCGCGUGUAUGAAGAAGGCCUUCGGGUUGUAAAGUACUUUCAGCGGGGAGGAAGGGAGUAAAGUUAAUACCUUUGCUCAUUGACGUUACCCGCAGAAGAAGCACUGGCUAACUCCGUGCCAGCAGCCGCGGUAAUACGGAGGGUGCAAGCGUUAAUCGGAAUUACUGGGCGUAAAGCGCACGCAGGCGGGUUGUUAAGUCAGAUGUGAAAUCCCCGGGCUCAACCUGGGAACUGCAUCUGAUACUGGCAAGCUUGAGUCUCGUAGAGGGGGGUAGAAUUCCAGGUGUAGCGGUGAAAUGCGUAGAGAUCUGGAGGAAUACCGGUGGCGAAGGCGGCCCCCUGGACGAAGACUGACGCUCAGGUGCGAAAGCGUGGGGAGCAAACAGGAUUAGAUACCCCUGUAGUC
rnacentral:rRNA from 1 species